rnacentral:rRNA from 1 species
AGUGAACGCUGGCGGUAGGCCUAACACAUGCAAGUCGAACGGCAGCACAGUAAGGGCUUGCUCUUACGGGUGGCGAGUGGCGGACGGGUGAGGAAUACAUCGGAAUCUACUUUUUCGUGGGGGAUAACGUAGGGAAACUUACGCUAAUACCGCAUACGACCUACGGGUGAAAGCAGGGGAUCUUCGGACCUUGCGCGAUUGAAUGAGCCGAGGUCGGAUUAGCUAGUUGGCGGGGUAAAGGCCCACCAAGGCGACGAUCCGUAGCUGGUCUGAGAGGAUGAUCAGCCACACUGGAACUGAGACACGGUCCAGACUCCUACGGGAGGCAGCAGUGGGGAAUAUUGGACAAUGGGCGCAAGCCUGAUCCAGCCAUACCGCGUGGGUGAAGAAGGCCUUCGGGUUGUAAAGCCCUUUUGUUGGGAAAGAAAAGCAGCAGGUUAAUACCCCGCUGUUCUGACGGUACCCAAAGAAUAAGCACCGGCUAACUUCGUG